rnacentral:rRNA from 1 species
AACGAACGCUGGCGGCAGGCUUAACACAUGCAAGUCGAACGCCCCGCCAGGGGAGUGGCAGACGGGUGAGUAACGCGUGGGAACAUACCCUUUCCUGCGGAAUAGCUCCGGGAAACUGGAAUUAAUACCGCAUACGCCCUACGGGGGAAAGAUUUAUCGGGGAAGGAUUGGCCCGCGUUGGAUUAGCUAGUUGGUGGGGUAAAGGCCUACCAAGGCGACGAUCCAUAGCUGGUCUGAGAGGAUGAUCAGCCACAUUGGGACUGAGACACGGCCCAAACUCCUACGGGAGGCAGCAGUGGGGAAUAUUGGACAAUGGGCGCAAGCCUGAUCCAGCCAUGCCGCGUGAGUGAUGAAGGCCUUAGGGUUGUAAAGCUCUUUCACCGAUGAAGAUAAUGACGGUAGUCGGAGAAGAAGCCCCGGCUAACUUCGUGC